GACGAACGCUGGCGGCGUGCUUAACACAUGCAAGUCGAACGGCUCUGCCCUGUUUUUUGCGGGGUGGGUCAGUGGCGAACGGGUGAGUAACACGUGAGUAACCUGCCCCUCACUUCUGGAUAACCGCUUGAAAGGGUGGCUAAUACGGGGUGUUCUGGCUGUGCCGCAUGGUGUGGCUGGGAAAGAUUCACUUUUGUGGUGUUUUGGUGGGGGAUGGGCUCGCGGCCUAUCAGCUUGUUGGUGGGGUGAUGGCCUGCCAAGGCUUUGACGGGUAGCCGGCCUGAGAGGGUGUGCGGUCACACUGGGACUGAGAUACGGGCCAGACUCCUGCGGGAGGCAGCAGUGGGGGGUAUUGCACAAUGGGCGGAAGCCUGAUGCAGCGACGUCGCGUGAGGGAUGGAGGCCUUCGGGUGGUGAACCUCUUUCGCCGGUGAAGAAGGUCCUGCUCUUUGUGGUGGGGUUGACGGUAGCCGGGUUAUGAAGCGCCGGCUAACUACGUG
rnacentral:rRNA from 1 species